rnacentral:rRNA from 1 species
UUGAAUUGAAGAGUUUGAUCAUGGCUCAGAUUGAACGCUGGCGGCAGGCUUAACACAUGCAAGUCGAACGGUAACAUAAAGAAGCUUGCUUCUUUGAUGACGAGUGGCG